rnacentral:rRNA from 1 species
UACGAAGGGGGCUAGCGUUGUUCGGAAUUACUGGGCGUAAAGCGUGCGCAGGCGGCUUCUCAAGUCAGGGGUGAAAGCCCAGAGCUCAACUCUGGAAUUGCCUUUGAGACUGAGUGGCUUGAGUACGAGAGAGGUGAGUGGAAUUCCCAGUGUAGAGGUGAAAUGCGCAGAUAUCAGGAGGAACACCGGUGGCGAAGGCGGGUCUCUGGGCAUGUCCUGACGCUGAGGAGCGAAAGUGUGGGGAGCGAACAGG